AUUACCGCGGCUGCUGGCACAGAGUUAGCCGGUGCUUAUUCUGCGAGUAACGUCCACUAUCUCUAGGUAUUAACUAAAGUAGCCUCCUCCUCGCUUAAAGUGCUUUACAACCAUAAGGCCUUCUUCACACACGCGGCAUGGCUGGAUCAGGGUUCCCCCCAUUGUCCAAUAUUCCCCACUGCUGCCUCCCGUAGGAGU
rnacentral:rRNA from 1 species